rnacentral:misc_RNA from 1 species
AGACUUGCCAAUGCAUGCUAGCAGGUAAAUUUUCCUUCCUUGAGAUGUGUCAUGUUUCUAGGAGCUUAGGUGGUAACAUUUGUGAUUGCCACUUCGUGGGAAUUUAUUACUGGAUAACUUGUGAUAAAACAUCAUUCCUUUCCUCAAGGUAAAACAUAAUUGGCAAUGCAUAGCAUAGUAACCUUGGUUUGUUACUGAAAAUUGUCCCUUUAUCUAUGAAAAUUUGACAGUGCAUUUUAGCGUUUAUUUUGUGUCUGUGAUUGACAACAAUACAUUCACUUUUUUCUCCAUUUU